rnacentral:rRNA from 1 species
AUUCUGUAGCAAGGUUAACCGUAUAGGGGAGCCGUAGGGAAACCGAGUCUUAACCGGGCGUUAAGUUGCAGGGUAUAGACCCGAAACCCGGUGAUCUAGCCAUGGGCAGGUUGAAGGUUGGGUAACACUAACUGGAGGACCGAACCGACUAAUGUUGAAAAAUUAGCGGAUGACCUGUGGCUGGGGGUGAAAGGCCAAUCAAACCGGGAGAUAGCUGGUUCUCCCCGAAAGCUAUUUAGGUAGCGCCUCGUGAAUUCAUCUCCGGGGGUAGAGCACUGUUUCGGCUAGGGGGCCAUCCCGGCUUACCAACCCGAUGCAAACUGCGAAU